rnacentral:rRNA from 1 species
CCUACGGGUGGCAGCAGUGGGGGAUAUUGCACAAUGGGGGGAACCCUGAUGCAGCGACGCCGCGUGGGUGAAGGAGCGUUUCGGCGCGUAAAGCCCUAUCGGCAGGGAAGAAGAUGAGGGUACGUGACCAAGAAGCCCCGGCGAACUACGUGCCAGCAACCGCGGUAAUACGAAGUGGGCAAGCGGUCUCCGGAUUUACUGGGUGUAAAGGGGGCGCAGACGGCAAUGCAAGCCUGGAGUGAAAGCCCGGGGCCCAACCCCGGGACUGCUCUUGAAACUGCAUGGCUGGAGUACAGGAGGGGCAAGCGGAAUUCCUAGUGUAGCGGUGAAAUGCGUAGAUAUUAGGAGGAACACCGGUGGCGAAGGCGGCCUGCUGGACUGUGACUGACGUUGAGGCCCGAAGGCGUGGGGAGCAAACAGGAUUAGAUACCCUGGUAGUC